rnacentral:rRNA from 1 species
UACAGAGGGUGCAAGCGUUGUCCGGAAUCACUGGGCGUAAAGGGCGCGUAGGCGGCUCAUGAAGGCUGUGGUGAAAGUCCGGGGCUCAACCUCGGAUCGGCCGUGGCGACUCGUGGGCUGGAGCACUGUAGAGGCGGGUGGAAUUCCGGGUGUAGCGGUGGAAUGCGUAGAGAUCCGGAAGAACACCAGUGGCGAAGGCGGCCCGCUGGGCAGUGGCUGACGCUGAGGCGCGACAGCGUGGGGAGCAAACAGG